rnacentral:rRNA from 1 species
UCGCCAGACUCCUACGGGAGGCAGCAGUGAGGAAUAUUGGUCAAUGGGCGGGAGCCUGAACCAGCCAAGUCGCGUGAGGGAAGACGGUCCUACGGAUUGUAAACCUCUUUUGCCGGGGAGCAACGGGGUCCUUGCGAGGGCCCGAUGAGAGUACCCGGAGAAAAAGCAUCGGCUAACUCCGUGCCAGCAGCCGCGGUAAUACGGAGGAUGCGAGCGUUAUCCGGAUUUAUUGGGUUUAAAGGGUGCGCAGGCGGAAGAUAAAGGCAGGGGUAAAAUUGAGGGGCUCAACCUCUUCGAGCCGUUGAAACUGGCAGUCUCGAGUUGGAGAGAAGUAUGCGGAAUGCGCGGUGUAGCGGUGAAAUGCAUAGAUAUCGCGCAGAACUCCGAUUGCGAAGGCAGCAUGCCGGCUCCACACUGACGCUGAGGCACGAAAGCGUGGGUAUCGAACAGGAUUAGAUACCCCAGUA